rnacentral:misc_RNA from 1 species
GAUGAAGAACGCAGCGAAAUGCGAUACGUAAUGUGAAUUGCACAAUUCAGUGAAUCAUCGAGUCUUUGAACGCACAUUGCGCCCCCUGGUAUUCCGGGGGGCAUGCCUGUCCGAGCGUCAUUGCUGCCCUCAAGCACGGCUUGUGUGUUGGGCCUCCGUCCUCCUCCCGGGGACGGGCCCGAAAGGCAGCGGCGGCACCGCGUCCGGUCCUCGAGCGUAUGGGGCUUCGUCACCCGCUCUUGUAGGCCCGGCCGGCGCUUGCCGACACAUCAAUCUUUUUUCCAGGUUGACCUCGGAUCAGGUAGGGAUACCCGCUGAACUUAAGCAUAUCAAUAAGCGGAGGA